UCUGCUCUGGAAGAGAAGUGGUUUAACAACAGCAGCCAACCGAAAGCCCUUCAGGAGCCCUGAGACACCAUGUAAAGGAGUCCCUCUGCCCUGCUGCACAGAGAAGCCAUGUGGAGAGAAUUUAGUCUGGCCAUCCCUGGCCAUUCCAGCCAUCCCAGCUGGAGCCUCAGACGUGUGAGUGAAACUAGCUGAGCUCUUCCAGUCCAGGAUAAAAAGUGAUUUAAAUUGAAGUCCAGGG